UCAACCCUUUGACGAUGAUACUACCUAUAUAAUUUCUUUUCCACAAACCCUUUGGUGAUGUCACUCCAUAGUGAAGCUGUUUCCAUCAGCCCUCUAAUUAUGACAAUUUCUUUUCCAUCAGCCCUCUGAUGAUGACAAUCUCUUCCAUCAAUCCUUUGAUGAUGAUAUUCCUCAAUAAUCUUAAAAAAAUAAAACCCUACAAAAAAAUCCAAGUAC
rnacentral:lncRNA from 1 species